CGUAGCCGCGGUAAUACAGAGGGUGCGAGCGUUAAUCGGAUUUACUGGGCGUAAAGCGUGCGUAGGCGGCUUCUUAAGUCGGAUGUGAAAUCCCUGAGCUUAACUUAGGAAUUGCAUUCGAUACUGGGAAGCUAGAGUAUGGGAGAGGAUGGUAGAAUUCCAGGUGUAGCGGUGAAAUGCGUAGAGAUCUGGAGGAAUACCGAUGGCGAAGGCAGCCAUCUGGCCUAAUACUGACGCUGAGGUACGAAAGCAUGGGGAGCAAACAGGAUUAGAGACCCCUGUAGUCCCUGUCUCUUAUACC
rnacentral:rRNA from 1 species